rnacentral:rRNA from 4 species
UAAAAAGCUCGUAGUUGGAUCUGUGUAUCGGACGGCCGGUUCGCUGCUCGCAGCGUUCAACUGGUCGGUCCGGACGUCCUGCCGGUGGGCGUCCGCGCAAGCGGGCGUCCGUACAUCCCUCCGGGCUGCUCUUAACCGGGUGGCCCGGUGGGCCGGCACGUUUACUUUGAACAAAUUUGAGUGCUCAAAGCAGGCCUUUGGUCGCCUGAAAACUGUGUGCAUGGAAUAAUGGAAUAGGGCCUCGGUUCUAUUUUGUUGGCUUUUCUGAACUUGAGGUAAUGAUUAAUAGGGACAGACGGGGGCAUUCGUAUUGCGACGUUAGAGGUGAAAUUCUUGGAUCGUCGCAAGACGAACGGAUGCGAAAGCGUUUGCCAAGAAUGUUUUCGCUAAUCAAGAACGAAAGUUAGAGGUUCGAAGGCGAUCAGAUACCGCCCUAGUUCUAACCAUAAACGAUGCCAGCCAGCGAUGCGCCGAAGUUCCUCCGAUGACUCGGCGCGCAGCUUCCGGGAAACCAAAGCUUUUGGGUUCCGGGG